GAGGUGGGGGGGCGAGGUGGGUCGGCCUGCUCCCACGCAGCGCCGCUGGUUGUUGUGGUCGACUUGUUUGGUUUCCUGGAAGGUGCAAAGCCUCCACCAGCAGGAGGGGGACGCGGCGCGCCUGGCAAAGCAUCUGAGAUUGUGUCGGAGUGGAGCGCAGCGGGAGGCUGAUGAAUGUAGCGGGAAAAACACGUCCCCAUUGUUACGGAAUCAUUUUUUUUUUUUGCCUUUUCAGAGUUUUAUGUGGAUUCAAGCUGUGAUUUUAAAUAUUCAUAUCAUUUGCCGAGAUCCUGCGUUUACCGCCGAGGACGUCUCGGUUUCCAGAGGGUGUGGAUUUGCAACGGGACAAUAAACCCGCCGCCUCCGGGGGAAACGAGUCCGCUUGUAUUAAUACUUUCUGUGCGGGUUGCUGUGGGACGGUUGCCGUUUCGCCGCAUCGCCGCAGGAACCCGUUAAAAACCCACCAAAGGGAACAACAUAAGAAUGUAUUUAGGAUGAGGCAGCCAGCAGCACCGGAGUCCCGUUAGGUCUCUGUGUCCGUCCCCGUCCCUCGGCGGUGUUCAUCUACGAAGCAUAAGCAUUUUAUCGCCGUCCUUUGCGUUUCCUUCCGGGGGGGGGUGGGCGGCCUCGCCAGGAGUCUCCUUUGUGCCUCGCCUCCCCUCGCAGGGCGAGCGGUCCCUUUUGUUUCCACCGUCAUUGUUUCAGAAUCGCCCUGUCGGCCAUUUUUUCCCUCGAGGCCGACCGUUGGAUAAAAGGACAUCAUCUCCCGCCGUGGUCUUCUGCUCACGUGUGACAGCAAAGAAUGAGCAAAAAGAGAAACAAUACUUAAGAACUCUGGUAUUGUUCUUUACCUCGUUUCCCAGGGGCACCGUUAUAUAUUUUGCUGGGCCCGUUCAAGGUUGCUGAGAUGAUUAAAAAGGGUGGAGAAGAAACACCGGCCGCUACAUGUUUGCCGUCACAUAAUUAACUCACUUUUCAAUGUACCGGACCGAGGUUUAUGAAAUGAAAAGUCAGCAGCGUCAGCUUUUAGUAACGAGGGAUCAAACUUCAUUCAUGCUUGUUUGCAGAGAGUCUCAGUGCUGCAGCAGAACCCGGAUAGUCGAUGUGUUCCACUUAAUUGUUUGUAAAACUUACUGUUGUAAGCAGUAAGCAGCGGAGACGAUGCACAGAACAAGUUUCGGUGCUCAACUUCCUCUAAAACUCUGAACAAAGUCAGUUAACGGAAUAGAACAUAUAUAAUAACAUCGCUACCGGUCUGCUCACGCGAUCAUGUGCUUCAAUGUCCACCUGCAGAUAGUGGAGAGUACAUUCCUGCAUGCAUGUAUGCACGCAUGCAAAUGCAUCGGAUGCUAAUAUUAGCGUUGCAGAUUUUAUAUGGGAAAGAGCAGGAAAGUGAACCCUUCGCUCCCUGACUUGAUGAAGACACAGUAGAGAAUAGAUUAGAUGGUCACCUGACCACCCGUAUGCUUGUUUUUGUAACGCUUAGUCCAUUCAGCCGAUUUCCCCUCACAUAUGUCUUUAAUGGAUCCUAAAAAUGUGAAAACGCGCGACGCCCGCUGUGAGCACUGUUGUUCAACCACCUCAGGAUAGCAAACGAUGUCAGAUCAUCUCCUUUUAUAGAGUGUUAAACUAAAGCUAAUCGACCAUUGUAGUGAAAAAUCCCCAUUGUCAAGGCCGUCCAAACGAAAGGACGUCUCCUCACCACGGCCUCCCUGCAGGUCGCUGCGUCCUUGUCUUCUCACACAUGCACAGCAGAGAGACAUCCUGUAUACAUCCAGUGCCUCAUCUAUACUUGCUUUGCAUAAUAUUUGAAUAUGUUUUUGGGUGCUGUGGGAUUUUAUGCAUGAAUUUUAAAUUCAGUGGUUUUGAAUGCAAACGGUUCAAUGUGUCGUCUCCCAGGCAACACUUUGUUUGAUUCAUUUUGCUUCAUAUUUUGUCCUGGAAGCUAUUCAAUUAAUCCAUUAGUUAUUUAAUUGGAAUUUUCCGUGUAAAAAAAAUAAAAUAAAAUGUUGUUCAACAUAAAACAUUUUUAGGUGAAUUCAGGUCAUAUUAUAAACGAGGAAGAGGUCUGUUUGUGUGCAGACUCCUUUAUCAUCAAUGCAUCUCACAUUCAAUGUGACCACGGAUAAUUAUUUUCACGUCCAGCGCAGAAGUUGACUGAUUGAAGUGUCUCAUCUCCUGGUGAAGAGGAUCUCAGCUGGACUGGAGACACGACGAGGACACACUCGUCACGUCCCCAGUCCACCUGUGGGAGCAUCUCCUGCUCUUUUUGUGUGUGUGUGUGUGUGUGUGUGCACGCUCAGGCCUUGCUGUCCAUACACCUUAUUUAAUAUUCAUAUGCAUGUUCUGCUGUGCCACUGCGAUGCAUCAGAAUACGUGUAUUCUAAGCUAUUCGUAUUUCUCAGGCCAACGAACGUGAACGCUUAAAUCCGCGUGUAUGAGCAGCAGUUUGUGGCUCACGUCCACCUCCGGAUGAACUUUUCACAGCACCUCCCGUGAGCUCAAAUCCAUAUUUAGCUGGUCCUCCACGGACCUGAAAUAAACAGUAAAUGUCGUAGCUUUUACCGCUCUGUUAGCAUUUAGCUAAAUUGAACAGAGACGUUUUUGAUUUUUUUUUUGUUUUUUGUCUCGCUGCGAAUUCAGAUUUACCUUUUUUAUUUUUAACAAUAUAUUUGUUUCACUUUUGUUGUAAGAUCAAACAUAAUAAGCAUCAGCAGUCAUAAACCGUUGGAUUUCCUUUUUUAAUCAUCCCGUGUUAAAUGGACUGUAAAAAAGCGUCGACCGCAUCCUGCUGGUGUCCAUGUGAAACCAUGUGAUUCUCAAUGGGAGAUGCGAGUCCAGUGUGCGCUGAGGACAAAGAGGAGGCCGUCCGUCUGAGUUAUGACGGUCGGUUUGUCCGGCGGACUCGACGUCCUGCUGCUGGAGACCAGCGCGUUCAUGUCCGGUCACGCUGAACGUUUAGUUCAACUCCCCCGCUGCCACGUCAGUCCUUUUAGUGUCACGAAUUCAUCUGCACACUUACGCUUCCAAGGGCCGCGGCGCCAUUUCCCCCACGUAAAACCGUAGAUCUUUGGUAAAAUCCACGGCGCUUUAUUGCUGUAAAUCACCGUCUUAACCGUAAUCCAGCCGGUCCGCGUCGAUCCGUCACAUUAACUGUAGCUGACAAUCGCCGCGGCUUAACGGGUCCUCAGGAGAUUUGUGGCUUUGUGGCCGUCGGCUAUCAGAGAGGAGCCGGAUCCACGUUGUCACGGGAGGAGCUGGAUCAUUACUGAGCGAGGUCCGCAUGAAAGCCACGGCAAUAAAACACGUCUCAUCUCCCACUGAUCUUCUUCUUUAAUGAAGAGAGCCUGUCAGCGUAAUUGUCCUGCUUGGUUUCCCCGCUGUUACGGAGUCACGAUCAGCGGACCAGAAGCUCAAGAGUCGCGCGCUUGGAAACGACGGUGACGCUUUUGAUGGAGGCGAUGGUGCAACGCGAGUGAACUGUGAAGACGUAAGGCGUAAAGAAUUCACCACAUGAUCUGGAAUCAGCACGGGCGGUGCAGUAAACGAUGGCGCUAAAAAUACCCCCCCCCCCCGCGCAUCAUGUGACUGUUUAAUAAACAGAAAGGGUCAUCGAUCGCAGUCGGACUGAAACGCGCCCGGGAGAGUAGAUCCGAAUAAAGCGAGUUAAUCAAAGGAGCAAGUUGCAGAUGGAACAUCCAUAUUAUUGAUGUGCCAUAAAUAAGAGGCACAUGUCCGACCCUCUGAGAGGCCGCUUCAGAUCACAACAUUAUUACAGCUGGCAAAGGCCUUGAUGCUUGCUACACACAAAAUAAUGCCAUUUCUGGUUAAAAUGUGACAUCUGUUACCAAGACUUUUACAUGACUUUGGGUCGGUUGUGGUAAUCUUUUUGUUAUGUAUCUUUGCGUAAACCUUUUUGGUACUUUUGUUGGUGAAACACUGCGGCUUUGGGCCACUGAGCGCAGACGCAACACGACUGAAGUUUUAUCACCAAAGACUGUUUAUACGGCUCGCCGUCGUGGCGAUAACCCAACCGCGCUGAAAUUGGACUUUUCAGUCAAUAACACUACAUGCGCUCCACAUUUAAAUCAGAACAAACGGUCGAUGGAAGAAAACGCUCCAAAAAAAA